UUUUGUUCUCAGGGCGGGGUGCAAUUCCCCACCGGCGGUAACGCAUGGUCUGCUUCCAGAAACAUGCGAAGUCCGCGAGCGUUGCGGUGGCAGGUGAUUUCGCCAUGCCGCCGUGAGUCAGCAGAUCUGGUGAGAAUCCAGAACCGACGGUGACAGUCCGGAUGAAAGAGAACGGUG
rnacentral:ncRNA from 2 species